rnacentral:misc_RNA from 1 species
GACUCCCUCAAUCUAUCCAUCUAUGGCUACCUCGCUUUCUCUCUCCAACUUCCUUUCCUUCCUCUUUCCUUCAAACCCACCUCCCAAAACCUCACCCCAACUCUCCUUCUCUUCUCCACCAACUCAAUUAUUAUCGCGAAAGUCUAAUGAUAAGUUGAUUCCACUGGUGGCCCAACAAAGUCAUUCUGGUUCUUUAUCCGCUGAAUUGUCCUCGGUUAUCUGUCCGUCUCUUGCAUAUGCGAAUACCCUUUUCUUCAAAUCGGCUUACAAUGUCCAGGUGAUCGUCGAUGAGAACGAGCCUGAAGAGAGGCUGUUGAAUAGGUUCAGGAGGGAGGUUUUGAGGGCUGGUGUCAUUCAAGAGUGUAAGAGGAGGAGGUUCUUUGAGAACAAGCAAGACGAGAAGAAACGCAAGUCCCGUGAGGCAGCUAAGCGUAAUAAGAAAAGGCGCUUCCAAUCGAGACCCACAACCCAAAACAAGCUCGAAACAUCCACAAGUAAGAAGGAGGAGGAUGAUGAAGAUAACUGGGACAUGCCUGAAGGAGGCCUUCCUUAUUAAAUAUUUUACCUUGCCUAUUGACUGUAGCAUUUUCACAUUUGACUGUAAGAGGCUUGUUUUUUCCUUUAAAGUUGGUCAAUUAAAUCAUGUCAAAUGGUCAAAGAACAUGAUUUAAU